rnacentral:pre_miRNA from 1 species
AUUAAGUUCAUUUUACAGUUUUUAGAUACAAUGUUUUGACUCUUCGUCUUAUUUGAAUUUUUUUUACAAUUAAUAUUUUUAUCAUUACUAGAUGGUAAAACAUGAAUAGUAAGUUUUUGUAUAAAUUUUUUAAAUAAGACGAAUGGUCAAAUCGUCGGACAGAAAUCGAAAAAUGAAGUUAUU